rnacentral:tRNA from 1 species
AGACUGAGGCUCGCUGGAUAGAGUUUUUAGUUGUUAACUAAAUUUUUGCGGGAUCGAGGCCCGUCGGUCUAG